GACCUAGUGGUGAAUGGACCACACCUGCUCUCCUUAACCCUUCUUUCAUCAAGUUGAAGCAGGAGGUCCCGGUUCGACCCCGGGCUAGGUCA